rnacentral:tRNA from 1 species
UGGGGAAUAGUUUAGCGGUAGAACCUCCGGCUCUGGACCGGGUAACCGUGGUUCGAAUCCACGUUCCCCAGCCA